UAAAUAAAAAUGUAAAAAAAAAUAAAAUGCCAGAAAGCAGAAACGAUAACAGCGUAAUUCAAACAAAUGGGUAUAUUGAUUAAUUUCCAACUUUCACCUCCGCUCCUCCCCUCUUUACAGGUGGAAAUUAACAUAGACGGGGGAGAAACGGCAAGGCAAAUCAAAUGAAUAGAUCAAUCAACAUGGCCAAAUAAUCCAGAUUAAACCCAAAUUAAGGUACAUGUAUAUAUAUAAAACAUGAAUAGAACUGAACCGCAGCCAUGCGCAUGCUUCCUCCUCCUCGAUCCUCUAGCAGUUUAUUACUGGAGGUAGUAGGCGAAGAAGGAGAGCACGGAGGCGCCGAGCACCGCGCCGACGGCCGGGAAGGCGGCCGAGGAGGCGCUGGUGGGCGCGGGCGCCGGGGCGUCGGCGGCGAGGGCCACGGUGGCCGAGGCGGCGGCCACAAGGACGGCGCAGGCGACCUUCUUCAUCUCCAUCUACCACGGCUUGCCGAGGAUCGCUAGCUGUCGUCGGUCGGAGAAGGGCUGAUUGAUUAGCAAGCCUGAUCAAGGACGAUCACACUUGCUAAUAUUCCUGCCGCGCCCUUGCUUGCAGCUAGCUUGCCUGGGGGGAGGAGGGCAGGGGGGCGGGGUGGGCUCUUAUAGCUUGGAUUGGUUGGAGGAGACGAGGGGUAGGUAGGUGGUGGGGUGGCCGCCAUGUGGGGGAAGGAGCGACGUGCGGGCAUGUGCGAUGAGUGGACGGGAGGUUUGUUGGGGACGAA
rnacentral:lncRNA from 1 species